rnacentral:lncRNA from 1 species
GAGAGGAUCACAUUUGGUGUUAAUAAUUUCAUUUGUUUAGAAGCAAUAUUAGUCCCGCCUUCCACGCACUGGACCACCAGCACGCAUUAGCUAGGUCUUUCACGCUUUGAAAGCAAACGAGACAGGCUGCAGAUGAUCCGUGCUGAAUUAUCGUCGUUUUGAUACCACCACUACCGCAAGGGGUGAGACAGGCAGCCCCCACCGGGAGGCGGACCGCCGCCUCCUCCGGUGGCAAGUCCGGGUAUGUGUGGGAUGAGGCAUGAAGUUAUUACACCGUCAGUUUCAUUGUCCUGGGCAGCAAUGUUUGUUGGAAGUACUUAUGUGUUUUUUUAAUGUAUGUUUUUCAGGAGCAAUUGGCCCAUGGGCUGCUGCCCAAAACAAAAGAAAAGAAAAGGCCACCAAAGCUCACCGACAGACACCCUCAGAAAAAUAGACAAGAGGAACAGCUGAAGGACCAAUUGGCCUGUGGGCUGCUGCCCGUAAGUAUUUCUCCAGGUUUUUUUUUUUCAAUUAUAUAUAAAAACCUUCCAAGGUGUCCGAAUUGGAGUAUUUAUUUCUUAACCUGCCGUUUUGUUUGUUUGUUCAGAAAACAGCAGGAAAGAAAAAACCACCCAAGUAAGUUCCUAUGCUGUAGUAGCACCCAGAUUUUCAGUAUAAUCUGCGAUGACAGGUCCGGGUACCAGCGGGGCUGGGAAGAAAACCCGCCACCUGGGGACGUCAACCGGCGCCCUCUCCGGUGGAAGAUCCGGAUAUGUGUGGGAUGAGGAGCAGCUGGCGCAGGGCAUUGCGCCUGUAAGCAAUUCUUAACCCCCCCCCAGCACAAAAGAGCCAGCCCCAUCCCUCACCCCAGCCCAGCCCCAACCCACAGCACAACUGAUCAG